UACGGAGGUGGCAAGCGUUGCUCGGAUUUACUGGGCGUAAAGGGCGCGUAGGCGGCAUGACAAGUCACUUGUGAAAUCUCCGGGCUUAACUCGGAACGGCCAAGUGAUACUGUCACGCUAGAGUGCAGAAGGGGCAAUCGGAAUUCUUGGUGUAGCGGUGAAAUGCGUAGAUAUCAAGAGGAACACCUGAGGUGAAGACGGGUUGCUGGGCUGACACUGACGCUGAGGCGCGAAAGCCAGGGGAGCAAACGGG
rnacentral:rRNA from 1 species